rnacentral:lncRNA from 1 species
CUUCAGGCCCCAGAGCUUGGCCCGACCCUAGAACGGCCACCGCCCUUCACACCGCGGAGGGCGGCGUCCCUCCCACCGCCGCGCCGAAUUCGGGCUUGGCGACUCGCUGGGGGGUCCCGGGCGCCCCCCACCCGCCCCGACGGCCAAGCGCCCGGAGCCCGCCCCACGGCCGCCCCUGAGGGCUGUCGUCCCGACAGGCUCGGUCCACUCCGCCCGCCGAGCCCUCGCCGAGCCCCGCUGCUGUGCUGACUUCAGCCCACAUCGCACCCCAGCCACCAGGGAACUUUCCAGAACGUUGGCCCUCUCUGGGAAGUCCCGAGUCGCCAUCCAGGAGGGAGCGCCCACCUGAGGCCUGGCGGGCUCGGGGCCGGGCCGCACGCGGAGCGCACCCUUCGGGCCCAGCCUCCGGAAGCGCUAUUCAGUCGCCGCGGGGCGCCACCCCUCGGGCCGGGCCCGCCGCUCCAGGGGCACCGACGGCGGCGCAGCAAGACACGGGAGAGCACCGCGCCCCCAGCCCGCCAGGAGCCCCCUGCCCGCCUAGACCUCGCCCGACCCCCCGGAGGCAGCCCGAGCUAAAAUUAGCGCCGAGCGCGCGGCGCGCUCACGUGCGCCCCGCGGGACGGGGUGCGGGUGAGUCACGGCCCCGCCCCCCUCGCCGAGGACGCGCUGACGUCAGCCGCUUCCCCGAAGGAUGACGUCAGCGCGCCUCGGGGAGGCCGCGAGGCCUCCGUAGAACGUUCACUGAGUUUCGAUGUCUUAAAGGGACCAGGCCUUGGAUCGUGAAAGAUCUAGAGCGAUGACUGCUCUCGCUCACCCGUGGAGGCAGAACUUGUCUUAUAUCUCUUUGUCCGGAGAAGUGUUGGCUAAGAUGAUGUUGAAAAAAAGAAGAGCACCUGAACCUCAUUGGAAGCUCCCCGAAGCCUCAGAACCUCCUCCUGGAAGCCCUCUGUGAUUAACCGGAAUCUCAUCCUUACUCAAAAGUUACACAGCUAAAGAAUGGCAAACAGGAAGUCAUUCCCAGGUCAGCUGGACUCUGAGUCUGUGUUUUGGUGACGAAGAUGGGCUAUGAAAUCUAUGUCUUAUUCGGGGUUUUCUGGAGCCUGUGACCAAACCCCUGGUGUGUGUUCCCACCACAACCUCAGGAGGAGAUGGAGAAAACCACAGACGGCCUCAGCCGUGAGGUCAGCGGCUUGUUCCCUUGCACUUGGCUUGGACGUACAGACAUGGAAGCUUAGAGCAGUAUGAGACCUUCAGGCCAACCAGGCCAGCCCCUGUUUUAUAACUAAGGGACUGAGGUGCAGGUGAGGUGACCUGCCUGGGGUCACAUGGCCUGUUAGGUAGAGAGUCCUAGUCACCUGACUUCCAGCCCACUGCUCUUUCCAUGAUCACACCUCUGUUAUGAGUCUCAGGUGGAACCGUGGGCGUAAAUGUGCAUGGUAAACUGUAACACGCCAUUUACACGAUAGAAAGGAAGACAAAUGGCGACUUGAAGUUUUGACUUUUUAUCUCCCAGCCUUCACUUCCCAUCAUCUUCCUAUCUCAGAAGCCCCAUUUAAUGUUGUUAAGAGCCGUAAAUGUAACUGGCCACUAAUGUGGAAGGAUUGUGAUCUCCAGCAAACGGCCCCAGCAAAGAAAGGAGCAGGAAUCCUGGGUCUGUUCCCAACCGUGCCAGUGACUCACUGGAUGACACAAAGUAAUGUGGUUCUUUUGUUGGGGGGAGAGAUGUGAGAAGACGACGCACACAGCUGCUCGCCUGACAGAGGUGAAAGGGUGGAGGAGAAGCCAUUUGACAGGCUCCCAGCAUAGUGGAGGCUCAGGGGUCCCUGGGUGAAUCCAGUUCCAUAGUAACUGCUUAGCAAUGGCCGGCUGGGUCAGCCCUGAGCUCUGGCCCACUUGAGCCCCUGCCUCCGAUGGAGCCGCUAAGAUGGCGUGGGCUGGAUUAUGGCACUUACCCUUCAUGACAUCAUUCUCAUUGGUUAGGAAUGCGCCCUGGUUGUUCCUAACUCCACUUUAAUAACUUGUUAUAGAUCUGCCCUCCAGGAAUUUGUUUGAAACUUUCUUUAAUCUAUUUAUAUUUCAGCCUGUGCAGCCUUUUCAGGCGGCAAGUAGACUGACCAUUUAUGUAAAAGCACUUAGGUCCUAAAACACAGAAAGUGCUAUAUUAGGGUUCUUAUCAUAAUAAAACGUUUGUAAUUAUAAUGUAUUUAAUAAUGAUAUUAUAAUUUGAUGAUAACAGUGAAUUCAGGUGGUCUCACAGGCUUAUUUUUAGUCACUCACUCUGUUUGUCUUUGUCUUUAUCUCCCCACGCACCACUCCCUAGCCAUCAAAAAGUAUUUAUUAAUGGAGUGAGGGGCUGUCAUGGGUAUAACAAUGCAUGCAAACUUAGAUAAACACAUUCAGUGUCCUCUAAAGACUUACCAUCUACCACCAACAUACAGUAGGUGCUCAAUAAAUACUUGUUGGGCGAAUGGAUGGAUGGAAGGAAUUAAAAAAACCUGCGUGGUAACUGGUGAGACAUAUUAGGAAUGACUAUUUUGGGGGUUGGAGAGCAAACCUGAGAGCAUCAUGGGCAAGGAGGGAAAAGGGAACAUCCUGAUUUUCUGGUCAAUGCGCACGUGUGAGCUCUCCUCAGAUUGGCCCUAGAGCUCAUCCUGGAGGAAGAGCUGGUUUCCAGGCUGCUGAAAUGAUGCCUAGAGGAGGCAGGCCAAGGGGCACCCCCAUGGCAGGUGCCAUAUGGGUUGCAGGAGUGAGGAGGCAGGUACGGGGUCCAGAAGAGAAAGACCGGUCCCUGUGGCUAUCUCUAUUUUCAGUAGGAACCACACCGGAAUGUUUUAAAAAUCCCAUGACUCAGUAGGUGAAUGGCCAAAUAAAUUGUGGUACAUCCAAACAAUGGAAUAUUAUUCAAUGCCAAAAAGAAAUGAGCUAUCAAGCCAUGAAAACACAUGGAGGAAACUUAAGUGUGCAUAUCAAUAAGUGAAAGGAGCCAACUGAAAAGGCUAUGUGCUGUAUGAUUCCAACUAUAUGACCUACUGGAAAAGGCAAAACUACGGAGACAGUAAGAAGAUCAGUGG